UACAGAGGUCCCAAGCGUUGUUCGGAUUCACUGGGCGUAAAGGGUGCGUAGGUGGCGAGGUAAGUCGGAUGUGAAAGCUCGGAGCUCAACUCCGAAAUGGCAUUGGAAACUACCUUGCUAGAGGGUCGGAGGGGGACCGGAAUUCUUGGUGUAGCAGUGAAAUGCGUAGAUAUCAAGAGGAACACCAGUGGCGAAGGCGAGUCCCUGGACGACUCCUGACACUGAGGCACGAAAGCUAGGGAGCAAACAGG
rnacentral:rRNA from 1 species